GACGAACGCUGGCGGCGUGCUUAACACAUGCAAGUCGAGCGGUAAGGCCCUUUCGGGGGUACACGAGCGGCGAACGGGUGAGUAACACGUGGGUGACCUGCCCUCAGCUCUGGGAUAAGCCUGGGAAACCGGGUCUAAUACUGGAUAUGACUCCAUGACGCAUGUUGUGGGGUGGAAAGCCUUGUGCGGCUGAGGAUGGGCCCGCGGCCUAUCC
rnacentral:rRNA from 1 species